rnacentral:rRNA from 1 species
AACGAACGCUGGCGGCAGGCCUAACACAUGCAAGUCGAGCGAGGACUUCGGUUCUAGUGGCGGACGGGUGAGUAACGCGUGGGAACGUGCCCUUCUCUACGGAAUAGCUCCGCGAAACUGGGAGUAAUACCGUAUAAGCUCUACUGGGGAAAGAUUUAUCGGAGUUGGAUGGGCCCGCGUUGGAUUAGCUAGUUGGUAGGGUAAAGGCCUACCAAGGCGACGAUCCAUAGCUGGUCUGAGAGGAUGAUCAGCCACACUGGGACUGAGACACGGCCCAGACUCCUACGGGAGGCAGCAGUGGGGAAUAUUAGACAAUGGGGGAAAGCCUGAUCUAGCCAUGCCGCGUGAGUGAUGAAGGCCUUAGGGUUGUAAAGCUCUUUUAGCUGGGAUGAUAAUGACGGUACCGGGAGAAUAAGCUCCGGCUAACUCCGUG